rnacentral:rRNA from 1 species
UACGUAGGGUGCAAGCGUUGUCCGGAAUUAUUGGGCGUAAAGAGCUCGUAGGCGGUCUGUCGCGUCGGCUGUGAAAACCUGGGGCUUAACCCCGAGCCUGCAGUGGAUACGGGCAGACUAGAGGUAGGUAGGGGAGAUCGGAAUUCCUGGUGUAGCGGUGAAAUGCGCAGAUAUCAGGAGGAACACCGGUGGCGAAGGCGGAUCUCUGGGCCAUUACUGACGCUGAGGAGCGAAAGCGUGGGGAGCAAACAGG